rnacentral:rRNA from 1 species
UGGGGAAUCUUCCGCAAUGGGCGACAGCCUGACGGAGCAACGCCGCGUGAGUGAAGACGGCCUUCGGGUUGUAAAACUCUGUGAUUCGGGACGAAAGAUAAGCAGACGAAUAAUCUGCAUAAGUGACGGUACCGAAAAAGCAAGCCACGGCUAACUACGUGCCAGCAGCCGCGGUAAUACGUAGGUGGCAAGCGUUGUCCGGAAUUAUUGGGCGUAAAGCGCGCGCAGGCGGCUACUUAAGUCCAUCCUAAAAGUGCGGGGCUUAACCACGUGGGGGGAUGGAAACUGAGAGGCUGGAGUGACGGAGAGGAAAGUGGAAUUCCUAGUGUAGGGGUGAAAUGCGUAGAGAUUAGGAAGAACACCGGUGGCGAAGGCGACUUUCUGGACGACAACUGACGCUUAGGCGCGAAAGCGUGGGGAGCAAACAGG